rnacentral:rRNA from 1 species
CGGGACACGUGGUAUCCUGUCUGAAUAUGGGGGGACCAUCCUCCAAGGCUAAAUACUCCUGACUGACCGAUAGUGAACCAGUACCGUGAGGGAAAGGCGAAAAGAACCCCGGCGAGGGGAGUGAAAAAGAACCUGAAACCGUGUACGUACAAGCAGUGGGAGCACGCUUAGGCGUGUGACUGCGUACCUUUUGUAUAAUGGGUCAGCGACUUAUAUUCUGUAGCAAGGUUAACCGAAUAGGGGAGCCGAAGGGAAACCGAGUCUUAACUGGGCGUUAAGUUGCAGGGUAUAGACCCGAAACCCGGUGAUCUAGCCAUGGGCAGGUUGAAGGUUGGGUAACACUAACUGGAGGACCGAACCGACUAAUGUUGAAAAAUUAGCGGAUGACUUGUGGCUGGGGGUGAAAGGCCAAUCAAACCGGGAGAUAGCUGGUUCUCCCCGAAAGCUAUUUAGGUAGCGCCUCGUGAAUUCAUCUCCGGGGGUAGAGCACUGUUUCGGCAAGGGGGUCAUCCCGACUUACCAACCCGAUGCAAACUGCGAAUACCGGAGAAUGUUAUCACGGGAGACACACGGCGGGUGCUAACGUCCGUCGUGAAGAGGGAAACAACCCAGACCGCCAGCUAAGGUCCCAAAGUCAUGGUUAAGUGGGAAACGAUGUGGGAAGGCCCAGACAGCCAGGAUGUUGGCUUAGAAGCAGCCAUCAUUUAAAGAAAGCGUAAUAGCUCACUGGUCGAGUCGGCCUGCGCGGAAGAUGUAACGGGGCUAAACCAUGCACCGAAGCUGCGGCAGCGACGCUGAUGCGUUGUUGGGUAGGGGAGCGUUCUGUAAGCCUGUGAAGGUGUGCUGUGAGGCAUGCUGGAGGUAUCAGAAGUGCGAAUGCUGACAUAAGUAACGAUAAAGCGGGUGAAAAGCCCGCUCGCCGGAAGACCAAGGGUUCCUGUCCAACGUUAAUCGGGGCAGGGUGAGUCGACCCCUAAGGCGAGGCCGAAAGGCGUAGUCGAUGGGAAACAGGUUAAUAUUCCUGUACUUGGUGUUACUGCGAAGGGGGGACGGAGAAGGCUAUGUUGGCCGGGCGACGGUUGUCCCGGUUUAAGCGUGUAGGCUGGUUUUCCAGGCAAAUCCGGAAAAUCAAGGCUGAGGCGUGAUGACGAGGCACUACGGUGCUGAAGCAACAAAUGCCCUGCUUCCAGGAAAAGCCUCUAAGCAUCAGGUAACAUCAAAUCGUACCCCAAACCGACACAGGUGGUCAGGUAGAGAAUACCAAGGCGCUUGAGAGAACUCGGGUGAAGGAACUAGGCAAAAUGGUGCCGUAACUUCGGGAGAAGGCACGCUGAUAUGUAGGUGAAGCGACUUGCUCGUGGAGCUGAAAUCAGUCGAAGAUACCAGCUGGCUGCAACUGUUUAUUAAAAACACAGCACUGUGCAAACACGAAAGUGGACGUAUACGGUGUGACGCCUGCCCGGUGCCGGAAGGUUAAUUGAUGGGGUCAGCGCAAGCGAAGCUCUUGAUCGAAGCCCCGGUAAACGGCGGCCGUAACUAUAACGGUCCUAAGGUAGCGAAAUUCCUUGUCGGGUAAGUUCCGACCUGCACGAAUGGCGUAAUGAUGGCCAGGCUGUCUCCACCCGAGACUCAGUGAAAUUGAACUCGCUGUGAAGAUGCAGUGUACCCGCGGCAAGACGGAAAGACCCCGUGAACCUUUACUAUAGCUUGACACUGAACAUUGAGCCUUGAUGUGUAGGAUAGGUGGGAGGCUUUGAAGUGUGGACGCCAGUCUGCAUGGAGCCGGCCUUGAAAUACCACCCUUUAAUGUUUGAUGUUCUAACGUUGACCCGUGAUCCGGGUUGCGGACAGUGUCUGGUGGGUAGUUUGACUGGGGCGGUCUCCUCCUAAAGAGUAACGGAGGAGCACGAAGGUUGGCUAAUCCUGGUCGGACAUCAGGAGGUUAGUGCAAUGGCAUAAGCCAGCUUGACUGCGAGCGUGACGGCGCGAGCAGGUGCGAAAGCAGGUCAUAGUGAUCCGGUGGUUCUGAAUGGAAGGGCCAUCGCUCAACGGAUAAAAGGUACUCCGGGGAUAACAGGCUGAUACCGCCCAAGAGUUCAUAUCGACGGCGGUGUUUGGCACCUCGAUGUCGGCUCAUCACAUCCUGGGGCUGAAGUAGGUCCCAAGGGUAUGGCUGUUCGCCAUUUAAAGUGGUACGCGAGCUGGGUUUAGAACGUCGUGAGACAGUUCGGUCCCUAUCUGCCGUGGGCGCUGGAGAACUGAGGGGGGCUGCUC